GGUCGGUUAGCUCAGUUGGUUAGAGCGUCGUACUAAUAAUGCGAAGGUCAUGAGUUCGACCCUCAUACUGACCA